AUGGCGAUCUUUGCUGGCCUUCUCACCUUCGUCUCCACCCUCCUCGCCCUCGCCCUCCGGCGCCUCCUGCGCCUCUUGCGCCGCCGCGCGCCCGACCCAGCGGCCGCGGCGGGGUUCUUCCACCCGUACACCAACGACGGCGGUGGCGGGGAGCGCGUGCUCUGGUGCGCCGUGCGCGCCGUCCAGGACCUUUGCCCCGACCUCCCCUGCGCCGUCUUCACCGGCGACGCGGACGCGUCCCCCGAUGGGCUCGCCGCCCGCGCGCUCGAUCGCUUCGGGGUCCGCCUCCUCCGCCCGCCGCAGGUUGUUCAUUUGAACAAGAGAAAGUGGAUCGAAGCAAGCACAUAUCCGCGCUUCACAAUGAUAGGGCAAAGUCUUGGCUCAGUCCUCUCCUACACUCAUUAUCCCACGAUCAGUUCUGAUAUGGUCGAACGUGUUAAGCAGCGCAACUCAAUGUACAAUAACAACUCUCUUAUCUCUGGAAGCAUUUGGUUGUCUCGAUGUAAAGUUCUGUACUACACCAUAUUCAGUUGGUUGUAUGGUUUAGUUGGUUCCUGUGCACAUCUUGUGAUGGUGAAUUCCUCAUGGACAAGAUCCCAUAUUGUGAAUAUUUGGGAAGUCCCAGAGCGUAUGAAGCGGGUAUACCCUCCAUGUGAUACUUCUGCCCUGCAGAUGCUCCCCCUGGAAAGAUCAACAACACCUCCUAUUUUUAUAUCAGUUGCACAGUUCCGUCCUGAGAAGGCCCAUGGUCUUCAGUUGGAGGCAUUUGCACUUGCUCUUGAAAGGCUAGAUUCAGACUGUCUCAAGCCAAAACUUCAAUUUGCUGGCAGUUGCCGGAAUAAAGAGGAUCUGGAAAGAUUACAAAAGCUCAAGGACAGAUCUGUGGAGCUUCACAUAGAUGAGCUUGUAGAGUUCCACCAGGAUAUCUCUUACAGAGACCUGGUACAGCUUCUAGGUGGUGCAAUUUGUGGGCUCCAUUCAAUGACAGAUGAGCAUUUUGGAAUAAGUGUCGUUGAGUACAUGGCUGCUGGUGCUAUUCCAAUUGCCCAUAAAUCUGCAGGACCAAUGAUGGAUAUUGUGCUAGAGGAGGACAGCCGCCAGACAGGGUUUCUGGCCUCCAGGAAGGAAGAAUUUGCGGAGGCAAUCCUCAAGGUCUUGAGGAUGCCGGAGCCAGAGAGGCGAGAAAUGGCGGCAGCAGCACGGAAGCGUGCUCAAAGGUUUUCAGAGCAGAAGUUUCACGAAGAUUUCACAAACGCGGUUCGCCCAGUUUUAUUAGGACGCUCAUGA
rnacentral:rRNA from 1 species